AACCUCCCCUCCUCCCUGGUGAUCAUGGGUGGGUCACAGCUGAGGGGUUGAACCGCCCAGCCACACAUCCCGAAGCAGCCCUAGUGGCGAUCCCAUCACUGAGUAAUUAGCUCUCUGAGUCAUGCUCCUGAGUUAAUACAUCCUCCGCUGGCUUUUCACACAGAAACAUUCAUUUAUUGUAUUUUUUUAAAAAUAAGUCAUGCGCUGAGCCAAAUAUGAAUUGUCACCAACUUCCACCAGGCCAGUGAUGUAAUUCACAGACAUUCAAACACCCUGAAGUGAGUAGCCCUUUAAGAAAGAGCCGAAAUUGCUACUUUAUUGUCCUCUGAGUCUGUUAUACUUUAUAAUUUCACAACAUUUCAGUCGCUGGGUAGUUAGAAAACGUGUGUUAGGUCUCUGGCCCCCCGUGGCUGGUCCUGCGGCCUCCGGGCAGAAGACAGGUGGCAUCACGCCAGUGCCAGCCUUGGGUUCCAGAACAGCACGGCCCUGGCAGACCCGGAGCCAGGGAAAGAGACUGGCAGUCUGCUCUUGACUUCCUUGACCCUCCUUCCUCUGUCAGGAUCUGGAGCAUCAGACCUGCCAGUCCUCGAACUGCUCACCCGGAAGGAUGCUCGGCCAGGCUCCCCGGAGGAGGGAAGGAAGCCCCGUGCAGGUCCCUACUGGCCUCCACCACCUUCAUCGUGGAAAAGCACGUGUGGACCCAGAAAUGUCACGCCCAGAACACAUGGGGGCCCUUCUCAUCCGCCGCCGGACACACCCGUCCUGGGCCAACAGGGCAGCCCUCCUCUCGCUGCCCCCCAUCCUCUGAAACCAGGAAUGGACGUGGUUCCUGCAUCUUCAAACCUGCCUCUAAUUUGGAAGUUUUGCUGUUUAGAACAUCUCAAACGGAAGUUGUGGUUUUUGAGGCUGAUCAUUUUCCCCUUAUUCCCCCGAGCAUUAGCAAAAUGCCAGACAUUUCUAAGCAAAUUCUUUGGAAUAAAAGCAGGAAAUGGUCUUCAGAGUUGCG
rnacentral:lncRNA from 1 species